CUUCUCCCCCGAUGCCUCUCCCUUCUUCUUCCUUUUUCAUUCUUCUCCUUUUCUCCUUCUCUUCCGCACACUAGCCCCUCUCCCCCAACUCCUUUCUUCUCUUCUUCUCUCCCCGUCACACACACACCCCCAGCCCAAAAGAGAACCAGAGACACAAAAACCGAACCCGUGAGAGACCAAGAGGUGCAAUUUUUGGAAUGGGUCCGAUUGCCAGUGGGUGGUACUAAAUUGACGUUGGCGACUUUUCGUGGGGUUUCUAGUAGCGCUUUUCUGGUGGGCUUUCUCAGUGUUAACAGGAAUCAUCAAUGAGGCUUGUGUCAUAAUUGGAGACUUUAAUUGGUUCUCCAAUGUUGUGUCCAAGUGACUAGAAUCCAGUGGGAUGUUCGAGUCAUGAGUCCAAUGCAGUAAAGAUGAUGUUCCUUUGGCUGCAGGUACUCCAGUCGUAGUUGAUGGUAUUGUAGAAGUAUACUUGGGAUAUUAUGACUGAUGCUCGCCGCGAUAGUUGUAAUUGUCGGACCACGGGUGUCUACUGUUUUAUACGUUUGGAUUUAUGGCUCGGGUCGCCUAUGACACUUGUAUUGUCGAGCCAUUAUUGUUAUGUAAUUAUUGUGUUGAUAAGACUUAAACAGAUAGAUGUUAAAUGGCUCUUUGUUGUAGGGUUGGCAAUUCGGGUUCACGGGUCGGGUUCGGGUCAACCCGACUGACCCGAUUAUAUAAACGUGUCAACCCGAACCCGACCCGAUUAUUAAUCGGGUUGUGACACGUGACCCAAACACGGCCCGAUUAAUAAUCGGGUAACCCGAACACGACCCGACAAACCCGACUAAAAAACGUGUCACCCGUUUACCCGACACGGCAUCAAUUUCACUGUUUUCACAUGUUUCAACCUUCAAUUUUUUUUUUAAAUCGGGUUAUAAUCGUGUUGGCGAGUCAACCUGGGUAAUCGGGUUAUAAUCGUGUUGGCGGGUAAUCGUGUUAUCGGGUCAACCCGUGCAAUCGGGUCAUAAUCGGGUUGGCGGGUUGACCCGCGGGUUGACCCGCCAAACACGAUUAUAAUCGGGUCAUAAUCGGGUCAACCCG